CCGCCGCUAGCUGAGUGGGUUAGCACCGGACUCUUACUCCGGGGAGGAAGGUUCGAUCCCUUCGCGGCGGACAA
rnacentral:tRNA from 1 species